UUUUAUUCCUUCACACUAAUUUCAUAACAGAUUUAUUCCCCCACAGCCCACUCAUUUUUUUUGGGAGAUUUCUUGGGGAGCACACUCAAAAUACCUAUAUAAACAUCUACUACACACACACAAAAGGGCGGAUAAUAACAAACGGGGCUGGUAGAUCAAAAACAAAAACAGAGCACCACAAAGGGGGAACGAAAAAACAAAGAAAAUGUCCUUUGCUCCUCCAUUUUAGAGCCUUCUUCCUCCAUGAAAACACCAAUAUCCACCUCCAAAGCUGCUGCAAAAAAUACAGCAACUCUCCUCCUCAAACCAGCCCAACCAGACGCGGCAAAAACGAGCCGAAAAUCCAGCGAAACAGUCUCUUUCGCACAGAACACUGCAAUCCCAAGGUUGAGUCGUCGAGGUUGUCCGUUCGAGUUCGUCGGCGAAUUUGAGCUUCUCCGGCGAAGUUGCCGUUUGAGGUUUCCGGUAACUGGUUUUGUUUGUUGUCGCCGGUCCGGGACAUGCUUUUGAUUUCGGUGCAGGACCUUGUGAGUAGAUUUGAAGUUGCUGCCUUCAGUCCAGGGAGACCCAAGGUAGAUCUGCCAGCGUCCGCAGAGCCUGGAGUCCCCCUUUCCGCCAUUUUUGUCUUUCCUGUCUCUUUCUAUUUUGAGAACAUAUGUACUUCUUUCAAACUUAUAUUUGUAGAAAUUCUUAGAUGUUCGUGAAUUGUGAAACCAGAUCACUGGGGUAGUUAUGUACUAGAGUUGUUGAACUGUUAUAUCACUUCCGCAUUUCAUAUU